UGCCAAGAACCUUACUAGUGAUUGGAGUGAGUUAAGAUAUCAGUGCAUCUAAAGCAGUUGAAUCAAGGAUACAUUGACGUGGUGGUCUUGUCUUUUGACAAGCAUGUUACUCUCUCAUCCAUCAAUGGCUAUCUCUUCCAGCUGAAAUGGUAAAACCUGUAAUCCCUUUGGACUUCUGUGUAUUCAUCUCAUGUUAUGAU
rnacentral:lncRNA from 1 species